rnacentral:rRNA from 1 species
UACGAAGGGGCUAGCGUUGCUCGGAAUCACGUGGGCGUAAAGCGCACGUAGGCGGAUCUUUAAGUCAGGGGUGAAAUCCUGGAGCUCAACUCCAGAACUGCCUUUGAUACUGGGGAUCUCGAGUCCGGGAGAGGUGGAGUGGAACUCCGAGUGUAGAGGUGAAAUGCGCAGAUAUCAGGAAGAACACCCGUGGCGAAAGCGGCUCUCUGGAACGGUACUGACGCUGAGACGCGAAAGCGUGGGGGAGCGAACAGG